UCGUAACAAGGUCUCCGUUGGUGAACCAGCGGAGGGAUCAUUACCGAAGUUACUCUUCAAAACCCAUUGUGAACCUUACCUCUUGCCGCGCGUUGCCUCGGCGGGGAGGCGGGGUCUGGGUCGGCGCGCCCCUCACCGGGCCGCCGUCCCCGUCCCCGUCCCCGCCGGCCGCGCCAAACUCUAAAUUUGAAAAAGCGUACUGCACGUUCUGAUUCAAAACAAAAAACAAGUCAAAACUUUUAACAACGGAUCUCUUGGUUCUGGCAUCGAUGAAGAACGCAGCGAAAUGCGAUAAGUAAUGUGAAUUGCAGAAUUCAGUGAAUCAUCGAAUCUUUGAACGCACAUUGCGCCCGGCAGCAAUCUGCCGGGCAUGCCUGUCCGAGCGUCAUUUCUUCCCUCGAGCGCGGCUAGCCCUACGGGGCCUGCCGUCGCCCGGUGUUGGGGCUCUACGGGUGGGGCUCGUCCCCCCCGCAGUCCCCGAAAUGUAGUGGCGGUCCAGCCGCGGCGCCCCCUGCGUAGUAGAUCCUACAUCUCGCAUCGGGUCCCGGCGAAGGCCAGCCGUCGAACCUUUUAUUUCAUGGUUUGACCUCGAUCAGUAUGUAGUUACCCGCUGAACUUAAGCAUAUCA
rnacentral:misc_RNA from 1 species